ensembl:lncRNA
CUCUAUUCUGUUCAAAUUCACAUUAAAAUAACCCUGAAUCAAGGAAAUGAUGACCCUUUGUUAAAGGCAGUUCCUGCUGGGUAACAGUUUGGCGUGCUUCCUUGGGUAGCUUCUAUAGACAUGUAUUAAUGGAAGCAUUCCGUCAAGUAUGAAUAAGAUGGAAGAAAGAAUGGCAGGGAAGACAUCAGUGUUAACCUUCCCACCCUCCUCAACCUCUCACUCUCUGUGUGCUCACACACCCCAACAGACAGAAGACAUCUGCAUUUUACUUGGAAGGUUUUGUCCAAAGAUAUUUUAAUCAUUAUCACUCGUCACUCCAAAAUGGUCAGACACAGUUCAGAGCUGUAUUCUUCCUGUGAUUUUUGUUGGUCAACAGAGGGCCAGAGACAGAUCUGUACAUCACUUCAGUCCAACAAACCCUGUUGUGAGAGGCUUCCCUGGCAUUUAAGUGAGAUCCAUCACUGUAACAUGCACCUCCCAAGUGUUAUCACUGAAUUGUUUGCCAGCGUAUGUCUGAAUCAAAGAGAAGGGGCAGAAAGUGUCCUGGCUGAUGUGCAACCUUUUAAUGAUUUUCUUCUGCAAUCACUCACAGAAUGCCAUUUGAGGAGCUGUGAAAGAAUGACUUUUAAAACCCAAGCUAUUCUAUGAUUCUGUGAUUGUAAAACAAGACCUCAGACCUUCAUGAUCAUUUUCUUUACAUCAAAAGCUCAUUCUGAAUCUCAAGUGUAUUAAUUGCUCAAUCUUAAUUCUUCAGUCCAAAAAAAAAAAAAAAAAAAAAAAAGAAUUAAUCCAAAACAAAAAGAACCCAAAUCUUUGAAAAAUAACCUAACUAGUCAGUGAUCC